rnacentral:lncRNA from 1 species
GUUCAAGGGCAAUUUGUUAUAAUAAGUGACUGAGGAAGAAAAUCAGUAACCACAGAAAGUUCCACAUUAGCUGUUUAUAUUUCCUGAUGUUAACCACCACUUAUUGAUUUCCCUACAUCUUCAUGGACAAAAUUUCACUUGGCUUUUAGUACUAAUUUUAAUCUCUUCUUUACCCAUGUAAUUUCUAAAAAAUAUGUCCUUUAUGUAAAGAAACUAGAAUGGCCAAUAAAAUAAGAACAGUAGUUGCUCUUUAGAAAGAACAAUGUGGCUGAUACAACUCUGGAUUUAAAGUAGGGAGCAAUCACUUACUAUUAAUAAAAAAAACCUUCUCUGUUCAUGGAUAUCAAAUGAAGACCAAGUAACACAGAGUUAACAAUGCGUAAAACAAAGUAAGCAAAAAAAAAAAAAACAUGAAUCACGGAGAGGCUUUCUCAAUUGAGACUCCAUUAGAGAAUUAAAUCUAUGUUUUAAUC